UACGGAGGGUGCAAGCGUUAUCCGGAUUUACUGGGUUUAAAGGGCGCGUAGGCGGGCUUUUAAGUCAGCGGUGAAAUCUCUGGGCUCAACCCAGAAAUUGCCGUUGAUACUAUUAGUCUUGAAUAAUGUUGAGGUGGGCGGAAUGUGUCAUGUAGCGGUGAAAUGCUUAGAUAUGACACAGAACACCGAUUGCGAAGGCAGCUCGCUAAACAUUUAUUGACGCUGAGGCACGAAAGCGUGGGGAUCAAACAGG
rnacentral:rRNA from 1 species